GUAAAUUUGAGGAUAUCGUGGAUGCGUACUUGGCAUAUCUUCAAGUAACAGUAGUUAAUCCUGCCAUGGAUAGAGCAUUGACACUUCUACAUAAAUUUGCGGUUGAUGCACGAAGUGGAAGAAUUUUGAAGGACAAGCUAUGUUUUGGUGCUCCAUGGAGACACCCUCCAUCUUCUGAUGAUCCUACAUUGUGUCGUCAAUGGGCUAA
rnacentral:misc_RNA from 1 species